AAAGAUGCUGUCACACAAACACAAGCACUCAUUACAUCUUCAUAGCAAAGAACUUCACUGCCUCCAAGAAACAGCAGAGUCUUAAAUGUCUCUUCAGAGGCUUCAGGUUAACUAAAGAAUUGCAACACAUUUCAUCUGGAGGUAAUAAAAAUCCAUGGGAUGGUAAAAAGCAGUUUUAAGAAAAACAUGGAAGAUGAAGCACCCAAGUGAAAAGUGAAAAGAGUAAUUUCUACACUGUGCUGUUUGAUGUACCAAUUGAGGGAAUUUAGGAUCAUGUGCAUGCAGCAGUGUCUAGCAGUGAGGACUGUCAUGAGCUGAUUUCGAGGGUACUCUGUGGCCAUGAGAAGGGGCUGCCUCCAUCCCUCCUCCCAGAUACCAGUCAGAAAAAGCACGCUGAACCACAAUAUUGCAAAACACCCAAGGAAUAGAACUGGUACCAUUACCUGCCCAAAGCUGCCAGUUUGUCUCUUGUUGCAGCUAUUUCUUUUGUUUAGAAAUAGAAAUAGCAUUUCUGCUGCUGCUGAUAAUAUGUUUAGAUUGCAGUAGCUCCACAUGGCACUGGAAGAGAGCCACUUCAUAUUCCAUGUGUGAAAAAGUAAGGGGGGGGGAAAAAAUCACUUUUUUAGUCUAAUGGCUUCUAUAGAUUGAACUAGGCCCAAUUUGAAAAUUUCUCUUUCAUGAACAUGAAAUAUGUAACUUUCAUGUCCACUGUCUUUUCUGUUUUACAAAGGUAUAUUAAAAAAUUACAUUGUACACGAGUCUUUUAGGAUAUUGAUUAAACUUUUAUGUGUAAGUAAUACCUCCGUAAACCUAUCAUCUUGAGAUUAAAGCUGUUUGUGUUACUGAGGUAGUGGGAAGUGUAUUCUCACACAGCUUUUGAAGUUCUUAUUCAUGAGUGAUCAGUGACUUUGAAUACUGCAGUAGAGAACAAAGUGUGACUUAUUUGUGUUUUGUAGUUCUUAAUAUGCUUUAUACAUGUAUUAUUAAAAAUAAGAUAGGGAAAAAUGAAUAUUUGUUUUAGGCAGUGCAAUUCUUUGCCUUAGACUAUCACAAAUGUUUUAUUUUUUUUAAUUUCCCAUUUUCUUGAAGUCUGAAUGUAAAUUGAAGAUAUGUUAUUAAAAAGAGUUCAUACAACAUCU